ensembl:lncRNA
AAAAUCAACAUUGUUGGAGGCCAAACUGUGAAGUCCAGAAUCCAGCAGGUGAAGGCACAGUAACUUCGUCCAUCUUUUAGCUUUCUUUACCCCCACGAAUCUGCAAAAUUGUGACAUCACAACAGUGUGACUGGUCCUGGAGCAACAUUAAAAUGAUGAGGGGACACCAUGGCGGCACAUGUAGUUACUGAACACGCCCACUACACCUGUUAUAUAUAAAUGUAAAUAUGACUGUAAAAAAAAAAGCUUUGUGAUAUGUAUGUUUUUGAAACUCAAACACCAUCAGUGACAUUUUAGUAGGUGUUUUUUAGUUAAAGGACCAAAUUGGGAUUCAUUUCCUGCAGAUUUCUUUGCUCUUAUGUGUCCUGCGUCAUGUGACUCCUGGAUCCCUGCUGCCGUCAUUACUUUGACAUUUAACCUGGAGAACACGCCGGGUAAAGAUUAGACAUGACAGACGAAUCGCACCGGGAGCAUUUCAGUCUCCACGGGCAAUUUUAUUUUGAAAAUUAAAACCGUGCUCCUGUAUAGACUGUAUAUGAAUGUUGGAUGCAUCUAUUGUGGACCCUCUGUGUAGGUUUUUCGCGAAACAACAGGAGUAGUAACUCCUGGAGUUCUUCCAUUCUCCUGCAAGAGGGUCCCCAAAACACUCGAGGGCGCUGCCACAGAUUUGUAAAUGAAAAUAUUUCAUCACCCCACCCACUAGUAACAGAGUCAGGCAGUCCAGGUGCUGAUGUUUUACCCGUGCCAUUUUAGCCUAAAUGCAGUACGAGCCUCCAGAUGUGGGCAGCUGUGAGGCCAUGGGAGCAUAACGUCAGACAUGAUCAUUUGGAUGUAUUUAGAGCUUAUCGAUCUUUUUUGUGUUGUUUUAAAAAGCUUUUGCCUGCUGGUGACUGAUCCAGCCUGCUGAAAUCUGCAGAUCUGAAACCUUGUCUUUGUUCACGAGACCCAGCAGCGUUUUGCACAAUACGGGAGGAGCCGUGUCGGCCAAACGAGACUUUUCUUUAACAAUAAUGUAAAACUAGUUCGAGUCACAAUGGUUUUCUAUUAAAAAGGACAAUUUUGUAAUAAUAUUGGCAUCAUGCUCCAUUUCUUUCACCAAAGUACACGUCACUCACAGCUCGGUCACACUAGGUUCAAAAUAGGACCACAGUGACUAAGUGUCGUCGUUUCAGGAUUGCACUGAUUUCAUUUGCUGUCUGAGACUGAUUGCAAGUACUUGCUGCGACCAGCUGAUCGCUCAGAGCUGCAACAUCCCAAACCUCUGGGUGACUUUUGAUCACAAAGAGAUUGCACAGGUUGAGUGCACGUGGCUCUUCCCUCUCAUGUUGCUGGAUUGAGAGCUCUGACUUUAAAGCUGUUGUUUGGUUUUUUUGAUAAAGGCUGUUGUGUCUGA